UAGUUUUACAGUCAGGUAUCAUAAAGUUCAUGAAGCAAGAUUAAAUCCUUCACUUCAGCACUCUAAAUGAUUACAUGUCUGAAAGGUGAUCUGGGAGAUCCAGGCUUGCCAAAAUACACUUCUUUGUUUAAUUGCAUUGCUGGCAUAUGCCUCAUGUUUACUGGGAACUCGUUUUUUCUGUGGGCUAAAAGGAAAGGAAGGUUCCCUCGACUGUUUAUGACUUUGCAAAGGAAUUUGAUGCAGAGAGGCAUAUUCAUAGUUAGACGAAUGUUGGAAGGAAUGAAAUCAUUACAUGAAUGUUGUAUUAUAUAUCCAGCAGGGAUUCCAUUAUAAAAGGCUUUAGUUAAUGUUAAUUUUGAGUACUGGUCUUGUUCUGGUGGUUUGAUGAAAUGAAACUAUGUUUAUCUUAUUGGUC